rnacentral:piRNA from 1 species
UGGAAAAAUUCAUCUGCUUGCCCUCAAGGU